rnacentral:rRNA from 1 species
CAGUCGCCGCGGUAAUACGUAGGGUGCGAGCGUUAAUCGGAAAUACUGGGCGUAAAGCGUGCGCAGGCGGUUCGUUAAGACAGAUGUGAAAUCCCCGGGCUUAACCUGGGAACUGCAUUUGUGACUGGCGAGCUAGAGUAUGGCAGAGGGGGGUAGAAUUCCACGUGUAGCAGUGAAAUGCGUAGAGAUGUGGAGGAAUACCGAUGGCGAAGGCAGCCCCCUGGGCCAAUACUGACGCUCAUGCACGAAAGCGUGGGGAGCAAACAGGAUUAGAUACCCCGGUAGUCCCUGUCUCUUAUAC